AACACAAUCUAGGGUUUUAGAGUGGUGGAGUGGGUAGAAGAGAGUUUCGUAGUCGCAACCUAAUCAAAAGAAGCGCAACUUCAAGCGAGUGACAACCACCAACCAUGGGUCGUAUGCAUAGCCGUAGAUUUGGUAUAUCCUCUUCUGCUUUGCCCUACAAAAGGACACCCCCUAGCUGGCCUAAGAUCUUUUCGCAUGAUGCUUAUGGAGUCCAUAUGAAUGGCUAUGUUGAGAUGGAUAGCAGAAACACCUGUGGAGUCCAUAUGAAUGCUUGAUCAUCUAGUUGUAGGAGGAUUGGUUUGUAGUUUCAUUUGCAUUUGUUCUGACCUUGAAAUGUUUAAACAUUUCUCCUUGAGACCACUAUUACCUUGUAUGUGAACCAUUUUUCCUCUGGUUAGGAACUGAACAAUGUUAAUAAUUUGCAAACACAAAAUAAGCAGAUCAAUGUUGGCUAAUAAGAUCAAUUUACUAUUAAAUGUUUCCUUUAGUUCAAUACAUUAUCAUUGAGUUUCUGAGUUAAUUGCUACUGUGACAGCCACACAAAAUUGACUGUUAGGAGAA